rnacentral:ribozyme from 1 species
AAGGUGGCCGUUUGUGAUGUGAGCAUUGUGAUGGGGCCGGAUGGGCGGAGUAGGGGGUUUGCGUUUGUUUCGUUUUAUAAUGAGGUGGAUGGGAAGGCCGGAUUGGCGUGUAAUGGGCUGGAGUGCAAUGGGAGGGAGUUGGCGGUGAGGGAACCUAACAACUAA